AUUGAACGCUGGCGGUAUGCCUAACACAUGCAAGUCGAACGAGGUAGCAAUACCUAGUGGCGGACGGGUGAGGAAUACGUAGGGAUCUGCCCUUAAGUGGGGGAUAACCCGGGGAAACCCGGAUUAAUACCGCAUGAUCUCGCAAGAGCAAAGAGGGGGACCGCAAGGCCUCUCGCUUUUGGAGGAACCUACGUCGGAUUAGCUAGUUGGUGAGGUAAUGGCUCACCAAGGCGACGAUCCGUAACUGGUCUGAGAGGAUGAUCAGUCACACCGGAACUGAGACACGGUCCGGACUCCUACGGGAGGCAGCAGUGGGAAUAUUGGACAAUGGGCGAAAGCCUGAUCCAGCAAUACCGCGUGUGUGAAGAAGGCCUCGGUUGUAAGCACUUAAGUUAGGGUAAGGAAAAAAGAACGUUACUACCUAACUAACGU
rnacentral:rRNA from 1 species